UAGCGCCGGCUAACUCUGUGCCAGCAGCCGCGGUAAUACAGAGGGUGCAAGCGUUAAUCGGAUUUACUGGGCGUAAAGCGCGCGUAGGCGGCUAAUUAAGUCAAAUGUGAAAUCCCCGAGCUUAACUUGGGAAUUGCAUUCGAUACUGGUUAGCUAGAGUGUGGGAGAGGAUGGUAGAAUUCCAGGUGUAGCGGUGAAAUGCGUAGAGAUCUGGAGGAAUACCGAUGGCGAAGGCAGCCAUCUGGCCUAACACUGACGCUGAGGUGCGAAAGCAUGGGGAGCAAACAGGAUUAGAUACCCUGGUACUCCAUGCCGUAAACGAUGUCUACUAGCCGUCGGGCGCUUUGAGGCUUUAGUGGCGCAGAUAACG
rnacentral:rRNA from 1 species